AGAGUUUGAUCCUGGCUCAGGACGAACGCUGGCGGCGCGCUUAACACAUGCAAGUCGAGCGAGAACCAGUCCUUCGGGGCUGGGGACAGCGGCGAACGGGUGAGUAACACGUGAGUAAUCCACCCUUGGUACCGGGAUAGCCCGGGGAAACUCGGAUUAAUACCGGAUGGCCCAUCAGCUUUUCGGAGCGGAUGGAAAAGGUAGCUUCGGCCUCCGACCAAGGACGAGCUCGCGGCGGAUUAGCUUGUUGGCGGGGUAACGGCCCACCAAGGCGACGAUCCGUAGCUGGUCUGAGAGGACGAUCAGCCACACUGGGACUGAGACACGGCCCAGACUCCUACGGGAGGCAGCAGUGGGGAAUCUUGCGCAAUGGGCGAAAGCCUGACGCAGCGACGCCGCGUGAGGGAAGAAGGCCUUCGGGUUGUAAACCUCUUUCAGGAGGGACGAAGCCACUCGGGUUAAUAGCCCAGAGGGUGACGGUACCUCCAGAAGAAGCCCCGGCUAACUACGUGCCAGCAGCCGCGGUAAUACGUAGGGGGCAAGCGUUGUCCGGAUUUAUUGGGCGUAAAGAGCGUGUAGGCGGUUUUACAGGUCCGCUGUGAAAACUCGAGGCUCAACCUCGAGCUGUCGGUGGAAACCGUAAGGCUAGAGUCCGGAAGAGGAGAGUGGAAUUCCUGGUGUAGCGGUGAAAUGCGCAGAUAUCAGGAAGAACACCCGUGGCGAAGGCGGCUCUCUGGGACGGUACUGACGCUGAGACGCGAAAGCGUGGGGAGCGAACAGGAUUAGAUACCCUGGUAGUCCACGCCGUAAACGAUGGGUGCUAGGUGUGGGGGGUGUCGACUCCCCCCGUGCCGAAGCUAACGCAUUA
rnacentral:rRNA from 1 species